GCUCAGUAUGAAUCGAAUCUCAAGAUAUUUUUUUCAACAAUCUCUAUCUCAACUCAAUGUUCAACCUCCACCUAUCUUUGAGAGCUUGUGAUCUGUCUCGCCCCCAUGCCCUGGGGCACACCUACUAUCUCAUGGAUGGACAAAUAUAGAAGUCAAGUCAGGCCACUCGAUCCCACCUCCAUCAUGGAUAGUGUCCACUCUGACCAA
rnacentral:lncRNA from 1 species